rnacentral:rRNA from 1 species
GUUUGAUCAUGGCUCAGAUUGAACGCUGGCGGCAGGCCUAACACAUGCAAGUCGAGCGGUAGAGAGAAGCUUGCUUCUCUUGAGAGCGGCGGACGGGUGAGUAAUGCCUAGGAAUCUGCCUGGUAGUGGGGGUUAACGUUCGGAAACGGACGCUAAUACCGCAUACGUCCUACGGGAGAAAGCAGGGGACCUUCGGGCCUUGCGCUAUCAGAUGAGCCUAGGUCGGAUUAGCUAGUUGGUGAGGUAAUGGCUCACCAAGGCGACGAUCCGUAACUGGUCUGAGAGGAUGAUCAGUCACACUGGAACUGAGACACGGUCCAGACUCCUACGGGAGGCAGCAGUGGGGAAUAUUGGACAAUGGGCGAAAGCCUGAUCCAGCCAUGCCGCGUGUGUGAAGAAGGUCUUCGGAUUGUAAAGCACUUUAAGUUGGGAGGAAGGGCAGUUACCUAAUACGUGAUUGUUUUGACGUUACCGACAGAAUAAGCACCGGCUAACUCUGUGCCAGCAGCCGCGGUAAUACAGAGGGUGCAAGCGUUAAUCGGAAUUACUGGGCGUAAAGCGCGCGUAGGUGGUUUGUUAAGUUGGAUGUGAAAUCCCCGGGCUCAACCUGGGAACUGCAUUCAAAACUGACUGACUAGAGUAUGGUAGAGGGUGGUGGAAUUUCCUGUGUAGCGGUGAAAUGCGUAGAUAUAGGAAGGAACACCAGUGGCGAAGGCGACCACCUGGACUAAUACUGACACUGAGGUGCGAAAGCGUGGGGAGUAAACAGGAUUAGAUACCCUGGUAGUCCACGCCGUAAACGAUGUCAACAAGCCGUUGGAAGCCUUGAGCUUUUAGUGGCGCAGCUAACGCAUUAAGUUGACCGCCUGGGGAGUACGGCCGCAAGGUUAAAACUCAAAUGAAUUGACGGGGGCCCGCACAAGCGGUGGAGCAUGUGGUUUAAUUCGAAGCAACGCGAAGAACCUUACCAGGCCUUGACAUCCAAUGAACUUUCUAGAGAUAGAUUGGUGCCUUCGGGAACAUUGAGACAGGUGCUGCGUGGCUGUCGUCAGCUCGUGUCGUGAGAUGUUGGGUUAAGUCCCGUAACGAGCGCAACCCUUGUCCUUAGUUACCAGCACGUCAUGGUGGGCACUCUAAGGAGACUGCCGGUGACAAACCGGAGGAAGGUGGGGAUGACGUCAAGUCAUCAUGGCCCUUACGGCCUGGGCUACACACGUGCUACAAUGGUCGGUACAGAGGGUUGCCAAGCCGCGAGGUGGAGCUAAUCCCACAAAACCGAUCGUAGUCCGGAUCGCAGUCUGCAACUCGACUGCGUGAAGUCGGAAUCGCUAGUAAUCGCGAAUCAGAUGUCGCGGUGAAUACGUUCCCGGGCCUUGUACACACCGCCCGUCACACCAUGGGAGUGGGUUGCACCAGAAGUAGCUAGUCUAACCUUCGGGAGGACGGUUACCACGGUGUGAUUCAUGACUGGGGUGAAGUCGUAACAAGGUA